AUUAGGCUACAGACAGAAACGUAGGGUGAAAAGGCAGGGGACUGCAUAGAAGGGAAAAGGAAUAUCGGAGGAGGGUAGCUGGGCACAAAAAGCUGCAUGACCUAGGAUUACAGUUGCUAUGGCAAUCAGGCUGUUAUAUAGGAGGAAGGAGCUAAAGAAAACUUCUCAUGUGAGAAGAAAACAAAUGGGUUUCAUUUGUUCACCUGUCAAACUUAUCAAGCUGCAUAGUAUCAAAUAUGAGGAUCCAUGGUGUUGAAUGUAGGAGAGAGGUAAAUGGUUUCCACAGAGUCCUCACUACUAGAAGAAAGAAAGUCCAGUUUUGAGGUAUUUUGGCUGGGUUUUGCUUGCGCUUCUGGGAUUGAUGACCAAGGAUCAAACAAGUGUUUUGCAGCUUGGGGAUUAUUUGCAUCUGACUGCUUCCUUGAGGGAGGCUUCAGAGUGAUUGUAGAAACAGGAUCUGUGGCAGUGUUGUCACCUCUCCUGCUCCUGUUCCUGCUCCAUUUUUGUGAAGAUGGUAGACUUAUCUCUGAGGAAUAGGAAGCAACACCUGUAAAGCAACAAAUGAGAAUGAUUCUACCAAAAACGACUCAUGUCUUAAGGUGCCUUUCCCAACUUUUCUCAAGUUAGGCAGAAUUGCUCAGUGUUACUAUACUGCACUGAAUAACCAUAAUUUCAAAGCAUUUUACAAUAUAUUAAGCACUACACCUUCAUUUUUUUUAUAGAGAGCAUUCAGUGCAGGGAGGUAAAUUGACACUCUUGAAGUUAUUGAAUGAGUUAGUGUCCUGUCUGGAGGUCUCCACUGCCAAUAGUGCAGUUGUUUGUAAUGAUAUCAGAAAAAAUGUGCUAAUAUAACAUUCUAAUCACUACAUCUAAUUACAACUAAGCAUAAGUUACUAACGCUAAGCGUCUUGUGUGUAAUUAAAAAUUUAACAAUCAAACAAGAAGAUGCAAUCUUGAUUGUCAUCUUAAACUACAUCAGACUAUGUGAUUCAACAGUGGAAUGUAUGAGCUAGGCAGUGACUCUUGAAAUACUUAAAAGUAAGGGUUUUUUAAGUAAGCUAAAAUGAAAAUUAAAUUAGCCAAAAUAUUACUUAGCAGCAAUUUCUAAAAGACCCUGUUUUUCUAUUCAUUUAAAAGGGGAUCUAGUUCCAGUUUCUUAAGCCAAAAUUCAGGAUGCCUUGCUCCCCUAAUCAUGGAAUCAGUAUGUGACCAAAAUGGUUGAAUUGUGGGUUUGAUGUUAAAAGUAUGAAAACUGGCAUAAAUGUCUUGAUUAACCUAAGUUUUGGAGACUUGACUUCAGUUUAUAAUAUCAAAGAUCCUUGUAUGCUUGUAAUAGAUAUAAUUUAUUUUAUCAGAAUAAUGUCAUCUGUGAAGGAAGUUUUGUUUUUUUGCUGAAACCAAAUUUCUAGACCAAAUCUAUCAUUUAAAAUAAUUUUAUUUAAAUAGAUGUCAUACUAAUGGAAUUAGCAAGGAAUCAAAUCAGUAAAUACUACAGGUUAUUACAGCCAUUGUAAUCCUCAAAUACUAGUUUCCAAAAUUGCUUUUUUAUACCAGGCUUGUUGCAAACUGUGUGUAUCAGUGUUCUCCCUGAGAUCCCACUAUAGGCAAGGUGCUCAGAUUGCUUUGUAGACAUAUAUAUAACUGUGGAAUGAAUGACCCAAAUACAGCUGCAAGCAGUGUAGCUUGUUUUUAGCAACACAUACUAUGCAACAACAAUAGUCCACAUGUGGAAAACUAGCGCACUUCCUACAUGUGGCAAAUAGCUGACAUGAGAAAAUGACUUUAUGUUGGGAGUUUUAAAAUGCUUUAAAAAAGGUGAAAGUAAAUUAGUCCAGAGAAUUGCAAUUGUUUAUUUCAAAGGUCAUGGAUAAUUCUAGUACUGAUGUUUUUGUCAACUUGAAUGCUGUGAAAUGUCAAAAAUCAAAAAGUGCAGGGUUAUAAUAGUGUCUAGCAGAUGAGAUGCAUCAACAAGCCAGUGUUCAAACAAGAUCAUAGGACUUCAGCUCUUGCAAGAGGCUUCCACAUAUUUAGUGCAUACUGACUCUUCUAACCUGCUUAAACAAUGCAAAUGAAAUCAAGACUAUCUUUUAAUGAACAAAGAAAGUGGUGUAAGUCUUGCUAGUUACAGUACAAUUUAACUUAAGCUUCAAAUGAAUUCACAUAUCACUGAAUCAUCUGAGGAUGGCCCACCUCAGCCCUCCCAUUUCCAGAAAAAAGUCAUCUAAAAUAAUUAAUGUAGAUGCAAAAGAAAGUACCAGUGCAGUUUCUUUAGUGAUAAUGAUUUGUUGGAUCUGUCUUGGCAUUUAGUAACAAUUUUGAAGUUAUGUGUUCUGUUAAGAUAAUUGUGGCAUAUUCAAGGGAAAGCAAAUCUGGCAAAAUUAAGUGCUGGUGACAUGCUAGCAAUAGAAGCAGUUUAUCAGGCCAGCUGUCUUAGUUAAUUCUAUAAGGCACAACUGUGAAAAAGAGGUUAUUCAGUGAAUUCUGCUGGAAUCCUUCAUGACCUUGUGUUCACUGAAAUUAUCUCAUUAAUGAACAGAAGACAUAAGGCAAAACAUCCAUAUCAAGGUUAGCCGAAUUGACUAAUGCACUUUUUUAGAAUAAUUUGGUGAGCAAGUAGAGGAUGUAUUCAUAGUACUGAUUUCAAGAAUAGACUUGUAUCAUUUUGUCCAAAUUUAUUUGCAAACAAGAAAAGCCAAGAUGUUUUCACAGCAUUUGAUGAUAAUGUUGGUACAAUGCUGCAUGAUGAUUGUGUUGAUAGCAGUGAUGAUGAGGGUGCUUAUCUUGAUAAAGCUGUAAAUAUGGAAAAGCAGAGAUGGCUUGAAUUCAACACGCUUUGACAGUACUUUCAAUUAAAAUUACCAAUAGGGUUCCUUAUCAAGAACUCCUUUUAGCUUAUAAUGAUCAAUGUAAAUGGACUGAACAUGUCUAAAACUGAUCAUGGAAAGAUUUUUAAGCUGCAGGUUUGCAAUAGUAUUAUGUAGUUUUUGGCUUUUAACUUGUAAAUGUUGAAGAUAAUUAUGCAAUACAUUAUCCAAAUGACCCAACAACAUCAGGAAGCUCCUUUUUACCAUAUAUGUUAGUUAUAUAUAAUGUUAUUGUCAAAUGUAUCUAUUCAAUCUUGUUAACAGAGUGUUUGAUCUCAGCUUUUGUGUUGUAUGACAGAGUUCUGUAAGUAGCAGAUGACAUGGCUCAUGCUAUUAGUGAAUGAUUUAUAAUGCCUUUAUAACCCAUAUCUACAAAAAUCCAUAGCAGCCUGUGACAGCAAAUAUCAUAACACAAAUUCAGCAGUGAUGGAUAGUACUUUUCAUGGGACUAAUAUUUCACUGCUCCAGUAUCCACGUGCCUACAUCUCUGGUCAAAUUCUGAAUAGAUUUGCAUUGCCUUGCACAUAGUCAAAACUAAAAACAUAAUUACAAUAUUGCUGCCAGCUAUACUGAAGAACAAAGACACUUCCAUACUUGCAAUAGACAUGAGUAACUGGAAACAGCAACUCUAUCAAUAAAAAUAG